CUUUGAUGUCUCCUAGUGUUCAAGCUCUGCGCAGUGCAGAAAAGAGUCUCCUCCUGGCUGUCUUUGGAUCAAGAUGCAGAACUCCUGGCUCUUCCAGCGUCGCAUCUGUCUGCACACUGCCGUGUUUCCCACUGUGAGUGUUAUGGACUAAACCGCUCUGAAAAUACUUACCUUGGAGAAGGUCCUUGUUUCCGCAGAAUAGCCAGACAAUGUCUCAGAAGUUGGGCUCAAGCACUUCAAGUUGGGUUCAAUUACUUCAAGUAAUUUCCUCAUUACUAUGCUGUGGAAGAGUAUCUAUCAAAAGCAACUGGGAAAAGGAAGAAGUCCGUUGGGCUCAUGGUGUGAAGGGAUACAGUCUGCUAAGGCGGGGAAUAUCACGGAGGAGUGUGAGGCAGCAGUUACAUCGCCCCCAAGAUGCUAAUAGGUUAUUUAUUCUUCCUGAAGUAAACGUCCUGAUGCAAGCAAAAUGCACAACUCCUGAGAACGAAGAAGCCAUUUCUAUGCUCUGCCUGAUGUCCUCUUACCCUGGAAUCCACUCGUCCACAGACGUGCUUACUCUGAAGACAUGAACUGAGCACCCAGAGUACUUCAUCCCUCCCCAUGGCAUCUGAAAUAAAAGGAGAAUAAGACAAAAGUGCAAU